rnacentral:lncRNA from 1 species
UACCAGUACACCAUCUUUACUCCAGUCAUUCAAGGAUACACAGUUCUAUUCAAAGACAUUUACUGAAAUGGCAUGAUCACCUUGCCUAUAUUGAAAUUACCAAAUUGGAGAGAUCUUAAUUUCAUCCCUCAGGAUCCUCCUGAACCUUUCCCAAUAGAAGAGGGUCAUGGGAGGUGAAGAUAUGAAUCUGAGGAAGAGCUGGCACCCACAAACCUCCCAAAAUGUGGAGAAAAAGUAUGGAAGGCUGAGCUGAUGUGGAAUGGAAAAAGAUUGAGGAGCUGCAGUGGGAGCUUCAGGAAGAGAGGGCAAGGGAGGAGAUGCAAUGCUAUGCACAGGAUGUGAGAGCUGUCAAAAAAAAAAAAAGAAAAAAGAAAAUGAAAACUGGAAUGGAUGUACCGGGGGCU